rnacentral:lncRNA from 1 species
UACUAUCUAUCAUUAAUAGAUUAACUGAGACAUCUUUCUUCCUUAGAACAAAAAAUGUACAGAACUAACGAAAUACAUCCAAGUGGACAAAUAAUAAUUACAUUAAGCAUGUUAUUUUUAAAUACAAUGGUGGCAAUGAGAUUUAAACACCACCUCAUGCAAAAGCAGGCUCCAAAUUUAUUAGCGGUUUGAAGAAAUUAGAUGUCUAAUUCUAAGCCAUGCUUUUAAUUUAGACUACAAAUGGCAUGUGAUCUAGGAAUUAAGAAUUAUAAUAUGGUUUUGGUAAAAAAAAAAAGAAUUAUAAUAUGGUUGUGGAUUUGACACUUUGCAACCGUGCCAUAAAUGAUGUAACUUAAGAAUCAUAUACAGAUUGAGUAAACCAUACCCAUUUAUAUUUUGAAAAUGGGACUCAAAUCUUGUACAUCAUCAUAUAUAUCUUCUUGUCCCAAUAUUCCUCAAUGUCAUUUUCUUUUAAAAAUAAUAUAUGAUACACAUUUGAAUCUUGAUAAUUGAGAAUGGUCUUAUUGUAUAGUCUUCAAUACAUGAAUGUGACUUGUGGAAUAUUGAUGUGCCUUCACGUCAAAUUUGUCAAACUUGCGUUUAUGAUUGGGUUUUGAAAUCAAGAAAAAAUCAACAACAUGAUGAAUGAGGCUAAUUAGAAUAAGCACUACACCCAAUUCAAGAUCACCCUUUAUAAUUUCAAAAUAUCCAAAAACCAUAGAGAAAUAAUGAUGCAAAUCCAAUAAGAAAAUUGUUAAGAGUACUAUGCAAAAUGCAAGUAAGAGAAGGAAAAAGAGAAUGAUUAUAGCUAUGAGAAGUACAAAGAAAACAAAUGAGGCAUGGAGAAGGGCAAUGAGAAUGAGAUCUAAGUUUGGGAACAUAUUGAAUUUGAUUUUGAUGAAACAAAUUAUUCAUGUUGGU